GCCACUGCAGAUUACUAACGGUACCAGACGUGAAAGAAGACCCAAUCGUCGUGGUUAUCGUUACGCUUUAACCUCUUGGAAGAAGUUCAUGAAAGCUGCUCAAAUUAAGGCCCGUGACCAGAAAUGGAAGAAGGUGCAAUCACAUUGUUGAAUAAUUUGGACCUCAAUGUUGAUAACUAUACCAUAAGAAUACGCAUUGUUCGUUUGUGGACAAGAGCUGAUUUCAAUAACGCUAGAAAAGUGUAUUGUUAUGAUAUGAUAUUCAUGGACAGUGAGGGAACAAAAAUGCAAGCUUUUGUUUUGGCUAAAAACGCAUCUGGAUAUCAACAUCUUUUGGAAGAAAAG